CAAGCGUGGUUAGAGGGUAAAAUCUUUGGUCCAACCGGUUUUUCGUAUUAAUCUAAGACGAGUGUACAUUGUUUGAAAAGAAACCAAACACUAAAUAAUACUAAUUACGGUGAAGCAUUUGGCACCCAUUUACGUUCCUCAUUAGCUACUUGACUUCUGUAUUCAUUUGCAUUGGUAAAUGCGUUUCUCCAAUAUAUCUAGAUGGUACAUCCUCGUUGGAAAAAACGUGGAAAAUCCUUGACUGGCUGAGUCAAUCACCGGAUCUGAAUCCAAUUGAAGAUACAUUUUUAAGAGGAGACUGAAUAUUGGUUCAUUCACUCAUUUCUGACAUUAUGCAUAGUCGACUAGGAGACAUCGAGGAGGCUGAGGCUUGGGAACAAGGAAAUGAACAGGCAAGAAAAGAUUAUUGGGACACAGCCUCGGUGUCCCUGCCUGAUCAUGGCAGUGCUACCAGCCAGUCACCAUUGUUUUAAUGGAAAUUCACAUCUUUUAAGACAUUGGAUAUCUGGAUACACCUGAUGCUGCCAUAACAUUUGGCCAAGUGAAUUGUUUCCAUGAUAAAAAUCUAGGGCGCACACACUAUUACAGACCCUACACAGUAUUUAUGCAUCUGUUUUUCUGCGAGUGAUAAUUAAAACUGAGAUACGGUUGAGGUUUUAACGAAUGGUGAAUUGGUCAAUGGAGGAAAGUUACAGUAUGCAGCCUGUACCGUCUUAAAAUUAUAGCUAAUUUAUGAAGUGCCAGUAAUUCAAACAGAUGGCUGUCACCAAGCUUCCAGAAGUGACUUCCAUUACACAUUCUUAGUAUACACUGGGCGUACCAUACACUAACUGAUAAAAUACACAGGAUGCUUUUAACCUUGUUUUUUUAUUGUUUUUAUUAUGCAUUUCACUUCUUCCUUUCCCACCCUUCACAUAUGACUUUCUUUCUGGAGGCAGCAGAUGGACAUUUUUUAACACAAAAAAUUCAGAAAAGAUUUCUUCCCUAAAUGAGCUCAGGUACAGGGGAGCAAAAGCACAUCAUUAUGUGCUGAUAAUUUACAGUAAGAAAACAUUGUCCUCCUGCAGAGAGCGCACUUUUAUCAAAUUUAGUACAUCCGAUUACAUGUAAAUUGUCUUGUAUUUAUUCAUUUUUGACCAAUUGGUUGAGGACUAUGGUAUGUAUUGUCUCCAUACACACACAGUGGAGUUAAGUAUUAUGUAUUAAGUAUUAAGUAUUUUGACAGUGACACCAUUUCUAUUUCUUUGGUCUCCUCCAACACAUUGGAUUUUAAAUGAAUGAAUGAAUGAAUGAAUAUCAGGUUAAGUGUACCCUGUCAGCUUCCGUGAUUCAUUUUCAAAAGAACCCCUCAAAACGCACCUUUUUAAAGCUGCUUUUAGUGUUUGAUUUAAUGUCUCUGUUUAUUCUUUGAUUGUACAUUUUUGUGCUAUUUAAUUGUAUUUGAAUCAUUGUAUCUCUUUUAUGUAAAGCGUCUUUGAGUACCUUGAAAAGCACUCUAUAAAUAAAAUGUAUUGUUAGUGACCUACUGUAUGAUGACUUCACAAGCAGAAUUGCAGACGCAUGAAGAAAUUUCUAGUAUUAAGCAGAAAAUGUGUAGAAUCAUACCCUGGAUUUACCACUUGGUGUCACUCUUUAAACACCUUUGAGGUUGAAAACCUGAAAGAGAGAAUGAGUGAGAGUGGGAGAGGGAGGAGGGGGGGUUGAGGUUGCUUUCUUCCAAAAAUCAUAAGGUUACAUUACAUUUUGUCAAUGGUAAGAAACUCUGACAUCCAUGAAUAUGCUAUCCUCGUUAAGCUUUGCCAAAAGUGGCUUCAUCUCCAUUUCUAUGCCAAUGUCUAUGGUGUGUGUCUGGAUGAGGAAAUAUCUCUAUGCUGCCAUCUCCGCUUCCUAUAGGUCGGUCUGGGCUGCAGGUGGUGAGACUGAUUAAAUGUUGCUCUUAUUUCUCAGAGGAGAGUGUUUGUCUUUCUGCCUGUUUAAAUAAAAAAAUGUGGAAAUGUAAA